GAUGAACGCUAGCGACAGGCUUAACACAUGCAAGUCGAGGGGCAGCGGGGGUAGCAAUACCCGCCGGCGACCGGCGCACGGGUGAGUAACGCGUAUGCAACUUACCUAUCAGAGGGGGAUAACCCGGCGAAAGUCGGACUAAUACCGCAUGAAGCAGGGGCCCCGCAUGGGGAUAUUUGCUAAAGAUUCAUCGCUGAUAGAUAGGCAUGCGUUCCAUUAGGCAGUUGGCGGGGUAACGGCCCACCAAACCGACGAUGGAUAGGGGUUCUGAGAGGAAGGUCCCCCACAUUGGUACGGAGACACGGGCCAAACUCCUACGGGAGGAAGUAGUGAGGAAUAUUGGUCAAUGGGCGCGAGCCUGAACCAGCCAAGUCGCGUGAGGGAUGAAGGUUCUAUGGAUCGUAAACCUCUUUUAUAAGGGAAUAAAGUGCGGGACGUGUCCUGUUUUGUAUGUACCUUAUGAAUAAGGAUCGGCUAACUCCGUGCCAGCAGCCGCCGUAA
rnacentral:rRNA from 1 species